rnacentral:sRNA from 1 species
CUUUAGUUUGCGUUAGCGAUUGAGGCUUUGUUGGAGCUCUUUUUAAUUAUUGCCUUUACAAUAAGAAAGGCAAUAAUUAAAAAAGCGAUUGCCGAAAGCGCGACCUUUA